GACGAACGCUGGCGGCGUGCUUAACACAUGCAAGUCGAACGGAAAGGCCCUGCUUUUGUGGGGUGCUCGAGUGGCGAAAGGGUGAGUAACACGUGAGUCACCUGCCCUUGACUUUGGGAUAACUUCAGGAAACUGGGGCUAAUACCGGAUAGGAGCUCCUGCUGCAUGGUGGGGGUUGGAAAGUUUCGGCGGUUGGGGAUGGACUCGCGGCUUAUCAGCUUGUUGGUGGGGUAGUGGCUUACCAAGGCCUUGACGGGUAGCCGGCCUGAGAGGGUGACCGGCCACAUUGGGACUGAGAUACGGCCCAGACUCCUACGGGAGGCAGCAGUGGGGAAUAUUGCACAAUGGGCGGAAGCCUGAUGCAGCAACGCCGCGUGCGGGAUGACGGCCUUCGGGUUGUAAACCUCUUUCGCCUGUGACGAAGCGUGAGUGACGGUAAUUGGUAAAGAAGCACCGGCUAACUACGUG
rnacentral:rRNA from 1 species